UGCCUCGCGACUUAACGAUGCCUCGCCUCGGCUCGCUUCCUUGCCUCGCGCUGGCUGUCAUCGUAGCUUUCCUCGCUGUUCAGGCGGAGGGGCGCGCGUUCUUCGGUCCCGGUUCCUUCUUCCAGGACGCCCAGUUGAACAACGGCACGACGACCGGCCUUGGCCUGUUCGGGUCGUUCCUGGAGGCGCUCGCCUCGCUCCACCAGACACACGACCUCUCCAGCUGUAAGUACC